CAAGUUUCAUUAAUAGCUUAGUCUAAAAAGGAUACAUGGAUAAAAAAAACAAAAAAAAAAAAAAAGCAUAUUUAACUACACUAACAGAGAUAUACUCCUUCCAAGCCAAAACAAGACCACCUGCAAUACCAUCAGGAUUAACAAUUAACGUGUCGGCAAAACUACAAGCAUUAAUCUUCCUUCUAACAAAAUUUGCAUUGUUCUUAGUCUCCAUCAAGAAAACUACAUACAGGGCCUGGGAUGAGCACAUCCCUUUGAGGUUGUGAAUUCUCAGAGGUGACCCUAAACCCUGACAAUUCUAAUAGAGGAUUCUCAUUGAUUCUGGUGGGUCACUUUCGGUUGGCCUCCACCGCCUUCCAUUGUAGUUUUAAUAGAGUUAUUGUCUGUUACUGAACUCCCUUCUUGGUAGCCAUGGGAGUGGCAGUAAUAAGAAGACCUCUAAAGUUUGGAAGUUUCGAGUCUUAUCUAAUAGUCUU
rnacentral:lncRNA from 1 species